UCCGCUUCCGGCCCGUUCCAUUCGGGAACACUCGUGCUGGGAUGCGGCGGGAUCCUCGUCGGAGCGCUGUGCCAGGGACAGCUCCCGGUUCUGCGCGAAUCCUGGGGCGCUCAGGUCACAGGAUAUACUGGGAUUGAGAGGGUUCCUGAAAUCCGACUCUCGAGGACACGGCCCGUGGGAGAAUUGAACUCACAACCUUGGCACUACCUGGACUGUGCUCCAACUGACUGAGCCCUCUGCAUCACAGCUGCGGGGAACGGGGGGCAGGAGGAGGCCAGGAGUCCCCGAAAGGCAUCCAGCACCUCUUGUCCAUGGGCCCUCGGGGCAGGGGCUGUGCCUGCAGCGUCCUGCCCGUGCCGAGCACACGGCCCGGGAUGGGCGCUGGGUGCCCGACCGGCGCUGGCACGGACACGGCUCAAGGGCUGCCCAUGGCUCCCGGGCCGGGGGCUGCUCUGAGCAGGCUCCUGGAGAUGCUCCAGCCUGGAUACAGGCCACUGACAGCCCAAAAGCAGCCCAAGGAGCAGCUGGCGUGUCCUGGUGAUGGUGGCACGGGCUGCGUGCAGAGGGGCUCAGACAGCAAUUCCUGGUUCCAGCCUCCCAGAGCUCCCAGGCAGCUGCCAGCUAUUAAAUGCCAACCGACAGCCUGCAGAGAUGCCUUCAAAUCAAAGGUUCAGGUGGGAUGAAGUUUUGUUUGGACGAAGGUGGGAGUUUCCAGGGAGCCAGCUGGAAGUGCAGAAGGGAUGGAAAGCUUUCCCAGGUGCUGGACUUGCCUCUGUGGAUGUGCACUGAGCUCUCACAGCAGGGGACUGUCAGUUCUGACUGACUCUGUUCCCUGACGUGAUUUCCCCUGCCUCACUUCUGUGCAGCUCCUAGCUGGGGAAAACUGGGAUAACUUAGAGGGGACAGAGGUGAAACUUUUAGCUGGAUUUUUCUAAAAUUUUCUAAUGAUACUGAAAUUAUUUCCAAUUGCCCCAGUGAGAAGAACACCAACUUGCAGGCAUCAAAAGCUCCAAACUCGUUUAAUUGAGCUUGAAGAAACUUGAAGAAGGAAUUUGGAUGUAUAAAAACAAGCUGAGAAGAGCAUCAGUGUGUUCACUGGCAGCACGGGCUGGGAUGAGGGCUGAGCAGGACCCAAGCUGCAGCACAUCAUCCAUUCAGCUUUCACCUCAUGUUUUAUCACGGCCUUUAUGAGACAGAUGUGAAUCGAUGAGUCCCAGGCCGAGCCGUGCCCGUGCCCUGUUCUGUCGGAGCUGGUGCUUUCCUGACAGGUUCACCAGCCACACUCUGUAAUAAAUACUCCUGGGUCUGCUGCUGUU